rnacentral:rRNA from 1 species
GCCAGCAGCCAUAUCAACCUGGAACUUACAACUGGCAACCCAAUGAAGCGAAGUAGGCAUGAGCCUUGUCAGUACCAGUAUGGGAGACCUCCUGGGAAAACUUAAAGUUGUUGCUGGAA